rnacentral:lncRNA from 10 species
UGAGCUAGGAUUAUGCCACUGCACUCUAGCCUGGGCAACAGAGAGAGACCCCAUCUCUAAAAAGAGGGAGAAGAAGGAAGGAGGAGGAAGAAGAGGAAGAGGAGGAGGAGAAAUACUGCUCUUUCUCAGGCCCAAGGUAAAAAGGUUUUUGGUCUCAUGUUGACCAGAAAGACAUUGAUAUUUAAUUAAGCAAUAUAAAAAGGCUCAUUGUUAGGAUUAAAGAGUAAGUAAAAUCAAUAUUGAGAUAGGAGGAUGGAGGACACCAACUGAGUUCCGAUCCCAAUGAAGAGGAGAAAAAGCUACAACUAUCUAGGUGAAAUAUCUACUUAUCCUAGAAGAAGCCUUUUGACAGCAACAUAAAAUUCAUACCUAUAGGUUUUUAAUUCCUAUGGAUGCCGUAGCAAAUAACAAAAACUUGGAUGGCGUAAAGUAACAGAUGUUUACUCUUUUCCAGUAUUGGAGACCAGGAAUCUGAGAUCAAGGUGUGGGCAGGGGUGCGCUCCCCCUGGAGGUUCUAGGAGAGGAUCCUUCCUGCCUCUUCCAGCUCCUGGUGGCUCCAGGUGUCCCUGGGCUUGU